rnacentral:rRNA from 1 species
UACGUAGGGUGCAAGCGUUGUCCGGAAUUAUUGGGCGUAAAGAGCUCGUAGGCGGUUUGUUACGUCGGCUGUGAAAACCUGGGGCUCAACCCCGGGCCUGCAGCCGAUACGGGCAGACUAGAAUUCGGUAGGGGAGACUGGAAUUUCUGGUGUAGCGGUGAAAUGCGCAGAUAUCAGAAGGAACACCGGUGGCGAAGGCGGGUCUCUGGGCAACAACUGACGCUGAGGAGCGAAAGCGUGGGGAGCGAACAGG